rnacentral:rRNA from 1 species
GACGAACGCUGGCGGCGUGCUUAACACAUGCAAGUCGAACGGUGAAGCUCCAGCUUGCUGGAGUGGAUCAGUGGCGAACGGGUGAGUAACACGUGAGCAACCUGCCCCUGACUCUGGAAUAAGCGCUGGAAACGGCGUCUAAUACUGGAUACGAGAAGGGUCCGCAUGGGCACUUUCUGGAAAGUUUUUCGUUUGGGGAUGGGCUCGCGGCCUAUCAGCUUGUUGGUGAGGUAAUGGCUCACCAAGGCGACGACGGGUAGCCGGCCUGAGAGGGCGACCGGCCACACUGGGACUGAGACACGGCCCAGACUCCUACGGGAGGCAGCAGUGGGGAAUAUUGCACAAUGGGCGAAAGCCUGAUGCAGCGACGCCGCGUGAGGGAUGACGGCCUUCGGGUUGUAAACCUCUUUCAGCAGGGAAGAAGCGAAAGUGACGGUACCUGCAGAAGAAGCACCGGCUAACUACGUG